GCGGGAUGGUGUAACGGCAACAUAUUAGUUUCAGAGGCUAAAGAAUAAUGGUUCAAUUCCAUUACCCGCA
rnacentral:tRNA from 1 species